CCUACGGGAGGCAGCAGUGGGGGAUAUUGCACAAUGGGCGAAAGCCUGAUGCAGCGACGCCGCGUGAGGGAUGACGGCCUUCGGGUUGUAAACCUCUUUCAGCACGGAAGAAGCGAAAGUGACGGUACGUGCAGAAGAAGCGCCGGCUAACUACGUGCCAGCAGCCGCGGUAAUACGUAGGGCGCAAGCGUUGUCCGGAAUUAUUGGGCGUAAAGAGCUCGUAGGCGGUUUGUCGCGUCUGCUGUGAAAGCCCGGGGCUUAACCCCGUGGUGUGCAGUGGGUACGGGCAGACUAGAGUGCAGUAGGGGAGACUGGAAUUCCUGGUGUAGCGGUGAAAUGCGCAGAUAUCAGGAGGAACACCGAUGGCGAAGGCAGGUCUCUGGGCUGUUACUGACGCUGAGGAGCGAAAGCAUGGGGAGCGAACAGGAUUAGAUACCCUGGUAGUCCAUGCCGUAAACGUUGGGCACUAGGUGUGGGGGACAUUCCACGUUCUCCGCGCCGUAGCUAACGCAUUAAGUGCCCCGCCUGGGGAGUACGGCCGCAAGGCUAAAACUCAAAGGAAU
rnacentral:rRNA from 1 species